CGCGUAAGAACUUGCCUCACAGCUAGGGACAACAUUUAGAAAUGAAUGCUAAUACCUGAUAUUAUGAUUUUAAGGCAUCUUAGAAUUAUGAAAGCUAUAAGCACUGUGAGAGAGCUUUGCGUCCCAUUAGCUAGUUGGAGAGGUAACAGCUCACCAAGGCGAUGAUGGGUAGCCGGCCUGAGAGGGUGAACGGCCACAAGGGGACUGAGGCACGGCCCUU
rnacentral:rRNA from 1 species